CAAUUUUAUAUCUCAUUAGAUUUUUUUUCUAUUUUUUUUAAUAUCUCAUCGUUUAACUAAUUAGUUAUUUACGGAAUAAAUUACUCGAAACGUUAUUUGGUCGUAUCUAAAUUCAAAUUCGAGGCUCAAGCGCGAUUAGGGGUAGCAUUUAUAUAAAUAGAAUACGCAAGAAUUGAU
rnacentral:misc_RNA from 1 species